rnacentral:rRNA from 1 species
UACGGGGGGGGCAAGCGUUGUUCGGAAUUACUGGGCGUAAAGGGUUUGUAGGUGGCUUGCUAAGUCAGACGUGAAAUCCCUCAGCUUAACUGGGGAACUGCGUCUGAGACUGGAUGGCUUGAGUGCAGGAGAGGAACGCGGAAUUCCAGGUGUAGCGGUGAAAUGCGUAGAUAUCUGGAGGAACACCGGUGGCGAAGGCGGCGUUCUGGACUGCAACUGACACUGAGGAACGAAAGCCAGGGGAGCAAACGGG